GCCAGGAAGAGAGUCUGGGUCAGUCAGAUGAGACACAGAAGAAGAUUCAAAAUAGAUGGUAAAGCCAGGUUGGGAUUUCCAGUUCCUUGCUGAAGAGAAGUUACGAGACUGGGCAUCCUUGCUUUGUUCCUAAACAGGAGAUGAAAACAUUCAGUCUUUUGCCAUUAGGUCUGCCUUAUUACUUUCGUCAGUGUUGUGCAGGAGAAUCCACUUAGAAGCCUGGGUAAAAUUGUAUUACAUGAUCUCGGGUUUGGUCCCUGAGAAAGAGCCAGGUUAACGCUGGCAGGAAAGAAAGCAGGAGUGCCCUUCAAACACGCUGCUGAAGGGCAACUGGAGGUUCUGGGGAAAUGUGAAGAAAGAAACGCAAACAUCCCU